CAGCAAAAAAGCUUCCAGGUUUCUUCCUGGAAAGAAGAUGUUCAUCGUUCAUUGUUUUUCCUAGAAGAUAAAAACACAUCUGUUAGUCAAUCUAGGAUAAUCCCAACUUUUGCUGCAUCGCUUUAGGCUGUCAGUCAUUUCCUACAGAGAGGAUUUUACACACACAGACUAAUUUCCCACAUUUUGUACAAGAAACUCAUCUGGCUUCCUCCAAAUGGGAAUCAAUCAAGUUUCCUAUUAGCUGAUUAUUGGUAAUGGCUUUGAGUGUUGUUUAGGAGGAAGAAAGGGGAAAGAGUUUGAUUAAUUGUUCCUUAAAAGGAACUGGACAGCUUGAGGCUGUGAGAUGGCAAUGUCCAUGUCUCCUCUUGCCAAAAAAAAAAACAAUCUCCUUCUUCUCAGCAGAGGACCACAGUGCAGCAAAGUACUCUGAAUUUCUGAUGGACAGAUUGACUCCCACUCCUUGGCCAUUGAACUUUCCACCAUUUCAUAACAAAUGGAAUAAUAUCACUUGGAGCAAACAAGUGCAACUGGCAUUGCACAUGUGUAUGUACAAGGCAGUUUAACUCCUUUACAUCCAUGGUUUCACAUUUCCUCUAAGCAAUUAUUGCACUGUAUGACUGCCACAUCUUUGUGCCUUUGACAGCAAUAAAUCAGUUUGACUCUGUUAAACCCUGAA